rnacentral:rRNA from 1 species
AUUGAACGCUGGCGGCAGGCCUAACACAUGCAAGUCGAGCGGAUGAGAAGAGCUUGCUCUUCGAUUCAGCGGCGGACGGGUGAGUAAUGCCUAGGAAUCUGCCUGGUAGUGGGGGACAACGUUUCGAAAGGAACGCUAAUACCGCAUACGUCCUACGGGAGAAAGCAGGGGACCUUCGGGUCUUGCGCUAUCAGAUGAGCCUAGGUCGGAUUAGCUAGUUGGUGAGGUAAUGGCUCACCAAGGCGACGAUCCGUAACUGGUCUGAGAGGAUGAUCAGUCACACUGGAACUGAGACACGGUCCAGACUCCUACGGGAGGCAGCAGUGGGGAAUAUUGGACAAUGGGCGAAAGCCUGAUCCAGCCAUGCCGCGUGUGUGAAGAAGGUCUUCGGAUUGUAAAGCACUUUAAGUUGGGAGGAAGGGCAGUAAGUUAAUACCUUGCUGUUUUGACGUUACCGACAGAAUAAGCACCGGCUAACUCUGUGCCAGCAGCCGCCGUAACAC